rnacentral:rRNA from 1 species
UUGAACGCUGGCGGCAGGCCUAACACAUGCAAGUCGAACGGUAACAGGAAGAAGCUUGCUUCUUUGCUGACGAGUGGCGGACGGGUGAGUAAUGUCUGGGAAACUGCCUGAUGGAGGGGGAUAACUACUGGAAACGGUAGCUAAUACCGCAUAACGUCGCAAGACCAAAGAGGGGGACCUUCGGGCCUCUUGCCAUCGGAUGUGCCCAGAUGGGAUUAGCUAGUAGGUGGGGUAACGGCUCACCUAGGCGACGAUCCCUAGCUGGUCUGAGAGGAUGACCAGCCACACUGGAACUGAGACACGGUCCAGACUCCUACGGGAGGCAGCAGUGGGGAAUGUUGCACAAUGGGCGCAAGCCUGAUGCAGCCAUGCCGCGUGUAUGAAGAAGGCCUUCGGGUUGUAAAGUACUUUCAGCGGGGAGGAAGGGAGUAAAGUUAAUACCUUUACUCAUUGACGUUACCCGCAGAAGAAGCACCGGCUAACUCCGUG